GUACAUUAGUGCUUGCACACGACAAUAAAUUUCAUUACAUUCGAGUGUGUGUAAAAAUCCUUUGCCAGCCAAAGCUAGCAAGAGGCCAAAGGUUCACAGGGUAUUGGAUGAAAGUCACCAACAUGCACUUGCCGAAGCCAGCCAGCACUGAAGGCAACGAUUCGCAAUCAGUAAUGAUUCUUCCGCAGGUUCACCUAUGGAAA
rnacentral:misc_RNA from 1 species